AUCCAGUUGACGAGUCCCAAAUAGAACGAAACGCGCGUCAAACCAGAU
rfam:Schistosoma margrebowiei strain Zambia genome assembly, scaffold: SMRZ_scaffold0000773